AGAAACAUCAUCCCGUGUAUGUGGUUGGUGGGUAAAGAAUGGGUCUUUCCUGUGACGUUCUCCUGUAUGAUUUUUGCGUUGUAGGCCACUGACUUCUGAAGGCGAUUUAACAGCAGUUUGUCUUUACAAAACUAUAGUCAUACGUACCUAUAAGUUAUUCCCCCACCGGCCAUUGCACCUACUGUUGAUUUAGUAAACAUUUAUGGGAUGCUUUACAUAUGUCAAGCACUUCCCUGUGACAUGAGGAAUAAAUUGAAGCCAAUUCUCGUUCUCUGGAAGCAGUCACAGUUCAGUGGAGGAAACAAAGAAUUGACGUGCAACAGGACCGGCUGGAAAAACCUUUGAAGGAUAGAGGAAAAUUUUUCUUCACCAGCACUUUUGGUGAGCUAGCGAGACCUCACUGGCUGGGCACUGCUCAUUCUGAAGCUGUUGCAGUAGAAAGAUCCUGGGACUUCUGAUAGAAUUGCAAAAGGAACUCAAUGAUGUGGAAUUUCUACCAAGGUUCAUGUCAGAAGCCCUCAUUGCCAUAUCCAAGACUCUUCAACUCCAAAACAGUAUGUUCCAUGGAGCUUCUUAAUAUCUUGCUUGUGGGUAUCUCUGAUCAUAGUAGUGGGAUGAGGUUCACCUUGGGUCUGACCUAUGAUUUGCUCUUUGUUGUGCUCUCAAAUGCUAAAUUAAUUUUGUCUCCUAGGAAAUUAGAUCUCUUUUAAGGAUCAUGUGAUUAUGUGACCAGAUGUGAAAUAUGAGAUCUGUUCUUCAAGUCAGUCCUAGGGACCUGGGGAAUUCAGGUUUCUCCUUAGAAUGGCAUCCUUUGGAUGCAUUUUGUCUUUGUCACUUAUCAAAAACCUGAUGAAAACUGUUCCUAUGCUUGUCUUAUUUUGUCCAUGAGAGUCUAGUUCUAGACCGGAGUAGACUAGACCAAACCUGUCAUCUGCUGGGAAAUGCAUAUUUCUCAGGUUGUAAUGGUAAGCAGCCCAACAUUUCGGUUGAGGAGACACAAGGUAUGAGAUGUGCAAGCAAUAUGUUCAACUGUUUUUUGCCUAGAAUAUGACCUCUUUUCAGAGGUAAAAUCAGCCCUGACAGCAGAACUUAAUCACACUCACCAAAGCUUGACAGUUACCAAGUGAUAAUCAUAG